CAGUCGCCACGGUAAUACGUAGGGUGCAAGCGUUGUUCGGAUUUACUGGGCGUAAAGCGCACGUAGGCGGACUUUUAAGUCAGGGGUGAAAUCCCGGGGCUCAACCCCGGAACUGCCUUUGAUACUGGAAGUCUUGAGUAUGGUAGAGGUGAGUGGAAUUCCGAGUGUAGAGGUGAAAUUCGUAGAUAUUCGGAGGAACACCAGUGGCGAAGGCGGCUCACUGGACCAUUACUGACGCUGAGGUGCGAAAGCGUGGGGAGCAAACAGGAUUAGAGACCCCAGUAGUCCCUGUCUCUUAUAA
rnacentral:rRNA from 1 species